UCCCCCGACCCCCAUUCAUUCCUGAUUCAUCUCACGGUGAGUGAACCCUAGCCGCCCUCUGAAGUCUGAACCCUAGCCGCCCAGUCGCCCUCCAUCGUCGCCGCGGUCUCAGGUGGUUAGCGCCACCGCCGUCGCCUGGUCCUCAGCCCCAGUAACCCUCCAUCGUCGCUUGGUUCCCUGCCCAGUAGCCCUCCAUCUCCAUCGUCUUCAUCUUCUCAACACCAGCAGGCAGUAGCCUUCCAUCUUCGCGCGGUCAUCAACACCAUCUCAUCGUCUUCAUCGUCGCGCGGUCCUCAACAGUCAACACCAGAAGCCUUCCAUCGACCCCAGUUUGUAGGUAUUCAGAACCUUAUAAAAAGAAAUGAGCAAUUAUAUAGCUCAGAAAAACCCUCCCCAGUGGUGUAUCUUUACCUUUUAUUCUGGUACAGGUGAAAUUGAUGCUGAUUUAUAUCAAAGUGGCGGUGGUAGUAGUGGUCUUUAUGCUGCAUCUCUUAUUCUUCUGCUCAACAGGGUGUGAAUGAAAGUGAAGAUCAUCUGACCGAAGCAGAUUUACAACAAGUUCUUGCGGAUUUUGAUGAUUGAUAAAUCAUGAUGUUAGGAUUUAAUAUUUAGAUAUGCUUUUAUUACUAUUUAACUUUUGAGUUUGGAUUUUGAUAAGAU